rnacentral:lncRNA from 1 species
UCGACAGAGUAAUCCUUAUCCUAGUCGACAUACGACCGAUUAAGAUUGGUGGGACUUGACCACCGAUUGAGGACAAUGGACCUAACCAAGUUGAUAUCUAACUGAUUUGGUUCGACAUAUAAUCUAUAACUAGCUGGUGAUAUUUAGCAUCUAGCUGAUUAUUUUUUUGGAGCCAUGCUGACUACUUCCUCGAGACUAUACCAAC